UGAAGGUGAAGAAGAAGAACGAUUGUUUAAUUCCUUGUUCCCAUUAAUAUCAAAGUUGGGAACUUGAAUCAGUUCAUUUAUAGCCUUGAAAUCAUUCUGGGUCGAAAAUCCCAAGUUGAGUUCAUGGUUAUCGUGGAUUUUAGGGUUUUGUAAAACUAGAUCAGGGACAUUUUUUGGUGAAAUUGAAGAAGAAGAAUUAGCAGAAUUAUGUGAUCUUCUGUUCUUUCUUGAACCCCCUCCAACAGGAAUAUUUCUUAAAGAUCCACCUUCUGUCCAAUAUCUUCUGCAUGUCUUGCAAAAAUACCUUGGCUGAGAGAGACUGUAAUUGUUGUAAUAGCAAAACUUUGUAUUUGUUGAAUUGCACCUUGGACAAUUCACAGCUUGUUCUUUCUGAGGCCUUUUCCUUUCUAAAGAAGGUUUUGGACAUGUUACUAUCUCUUCCAUCUGUUUCAUCACUAUAUCCUAAAAACCCAAAAAUAAAUAUCAUCAAAAAGUAUAAAAUUUUGCUUCAAGAACAAACAAAUAGGAAAACUAACUCCCACAAUUUCAGAGCAAAAACAUAUACAAACAGGAAGGAAACAAACAAACAAAGUCAGGUGCUUUACACCUUUUUAAAGAUCAUGAACAGAAACAAA
rnacentral:lncRNA from 1 species